AAGAAUAUCCAAAAGGAAUCCACUUUCUGCCUUGUCCUCCUUCUCCCUGGUGGCUUCUGAGUCUGAUUCUGCGCAUGCCUACAGGUAAUUCUCUAGUAAGUUUUAAACUCACUCAGUUUUUUCAAAAAAACAUUGAAUUUUCAGUUUAAAAACUGAGCAGUUGAUCAGCUUUUCAGAAAACUGAAAUUGGGUAUCUUAACCAUUUUAUUUUCUUGGAUAAAAGAAAUUCCAUUUGAUACAAGUGAUUUUCUUGUGCUAACAUGCUUCUAUUACAAAGCUUUGAGAUUAUGUAGUACAUAGUGUCAGUUUGCGUUGUUUUGUUUUUUUAACUCUGCAACUUCUCUCAAGUGUUGAAGUCUCGUUACUAGUUAAAUCUGUUUUACCAAUUCAUUGCUAGUUAAUUUGCUGACGCUAGGUAUAUAUUCAUGGGAACACCUUAUCGAGGUGAGAAUGUAAUAAAUCAAUUAACAUAUAAGUAAUUAACUUUCAAAAUUUUUGGUUUUUCUUCUGCUUAAUCACAUCCCCUGAAGAAUUUUCUCUUCCCAGUUUUUAUUACAGGAAAUCGGGAAACUUGAAGCAACAUCAUAAGAAACAGAGACUGGCCAAAAAAGAAGGAAAAAGAAAAAAUUGAUAACACAAAACCGCCUUGGUUCUGAUGCUCUUAUUUUCUAUUCAUGAUUGUACAUACUCUCACCCACAUUCUCUGAGUGAGUGAAAUUUUAUUUACCUGCAGCAUAUUAUGUAUAUCCAUAUCGUAGCUGGCAUUUUAGUAGGGGCAGACCGAGCUAAAGCAAACAUCAAUAAUAUUUUUAAUCCUACGCUUUCCCUCAUCGAAAUCUUGGCUUCCAAUAUGUCCUUGCUUCUCUAAUAGAUACAUUAUCGAUUCACAUCGACAAAUGGCCCAUAACUUACUUGCUUGGUUACAGCAUCGUCUAGGAACAUGGUGCCGGUUUUUAAUUCCUCGCUUAGCUGACAUAUCUUCUGAAAUUCUUCUUGACUGUCCUAUUAUAUAAUUCUCACAAGAGCUCAAAUCUUUUCUAUUAGCUUCCUCCUUGCAUAUUUCUCGAACAUAAAAAGAAUGGUCCUUUCCAUCGGUGGCGGUGGUUGUUGUUGUCGUAUAGCCGGGGACCGCACUGGCUAUUAUCACUAGAAGAAUGCAGAUUAGAGGUGUUGAGGUAAUUAGCUUUGCCAUUUUUGCUUAAAGCUUUUAGUUGUGGUUAGGGUAAUUGGAG
rnacentral:lncRNA from 1 species